rnacentral:lncRNA from 1 species
GUUCUGGUUGCUAUGCCCUUUUGUGGCUGUGACUGCCCGCCCUCACAACGGCCCGUUUUCUUCCCAGUGCUCUGAACUUUUGGGCAAAUGUGUCAAGUGUGUACACAGACAAAGCCUCACUUCAAAGCUCGUGUUCAGGGCCCUUAAAGUCAUAGUUAUUGCAAAACUGCGGCCGUCUGGCGAACCUGCCUUAUGUAAGGGUGCUUGAACGUAUGAUUCACCAAACAUUUCCGCAGACAUCGCAAAGUUGUUGGAGCCAGAGUAGGAGAAAGACCACCCAUUUGAGAUCAUGGCUUGACAGGGAACACUCCCUCCUGCCACCAGAAUGGGACCAAUCUAGACAUCUCUUCUCUGGCUUCCUUGUGCCUGGCCUUUUUUGGAGGGUUGGGAUAGUGGCCUGUCUUCAUGCAUGGUGAGAUAACACCAACAUCGAAGGAAGAUCUUUGCCACAGAGGAUCCUAGUUCCAGCUCCCAGAGCCGAGUGCAGCAGAAGAGCAGUGCAUGGCAGAUACCUUGGCCCCAGCUGACCUUGAUGGAACUGCUGAUCUCUCUGCCUCACUUCCCAGCACCUGCCCUUCUUGGACCCCUGUGUCUUGAUUUCAGUUUUGUAAUUACAAUCUGUUUCUCCGCAUGACACAGUUUGACAUGUGCUUUCAUAUCCUUGCCUCCUCUUGCCCCUCCCCCAAUCUCUGUAUAAUCUUUAUGAAUAAUAGAGAGUCCUUUAAAUUUC